UAGUCUAGUGGUUAAGGCUAUGGAUUGCCAAUCCGGAUAUGGCGGGUUCGAUUCCCGU
rnacentral:tRNA from 1 species